UUUAUUUUAAGGACUUUUCUUUUAGUUUACUGGGCAGCAAUAAGACCAAAUAAUAAGACUUUCCUCAAGUAACACAGGUUCAAACAUCCUCAGCUCCUUUCUCUCCUCCCCAGUCUCUGUUUUGGUUCUUUGUAUUGAACCAUGGCUUACCAAUUUUUAACUUAGAGACAUUUGCCCUAGGGAUAAGAUCUCUCUGAGGAGUAACCUCCAAACACAGAGGAGAUCUACAGAAUGUGCCCUUACCACUAAGAUGAAGCUGCCAUGUGUCCUGCUGUAGGAUGAAUGAUGCCUCUGGUGUCAUUUUUAUGACCGGAUAAUGCUGCACAGAUUUUAACAGACUUGAUGACCUACAGAAAGGUUAACUUUUGAUUGUGUUAUAUUUAAUAUACAAUCAAGUGUACUUUACAGGAUUUGGAGGAUUUGGAGAUGAUAGAGCCAGUAAAAGAAAUAUAGAUCUCUGAGUGACACAAAGGAAUAUGAGACAUACAAGAAAGAAACCUCGUGAAAUUUUAAAACUUGGACUGGCAAAAUGGACCAGCGAAUGUGGGCUCUUUCCUCCGUAAGCAUGACAAUUGAUCUAAGUUUGAUCCUCAGAGUCAACUGUGCAAGAAGAGAAUCAGCUCCACAAAGUCGUCCUUGACCUCCACAUGUGCACUGCAGAGCAAAAACCCCCUAUCUCCUAGUAGUAAAUAAAACAAGAUAAUAAAUAAAAAAUACCAAGCUUUAAAGCUUUU